AGUGAACGCUGGCGGUAGGCCUAACACAUGCAAGUCGAACGGCAGCACAGUAAGAGCUUGCUCUUACGGGUGGCGAGUGGCGGAUGGGUGAGGAAUACAUCGGAAUCUACUUUUUCGUGGGGGAUAACGUAGGGAAACUUACGCUAAUACCGCAUACGACCUACGGGUGAAAGCAGGGGAUCUUCGGACCUUGCGUGAUUGAAUGAGCCGAUGUCGGAUUAGCUAGUUGGCGGGGUAAAGGCCCACCAAGGCGACGAUCCGUAGCUGGUCUGAGAGGAUGAUCAGCCACACUGGAACUGAGACACGGUCCAGACUCCUACGGGAGGCAGCAGUGGGGAAUAUUGGACAAUGGGCGCAAGCCUGAUCCAGCCAUGCCGCGUGGGUGAAGAAGGCCUUCGGGUUGUAAAGCCCUUUUGUUGGGAAAGAAAAGCAGCAGGUUAAUACCCCGCUGUUCUGACGGUACCCAAAGAAUAAGCACCGGCUAACUUCGUG
rnacentral:rRNA from 1 species